rnacentral:miRNA from 1 species
UUAUCAGACUUGUAGCAAAGUUGUUCUAACAAGUCUGAUACAGUCAUGAUAUAACAAGAAUGUUACAAGGUUGAUGACACAAGGUUGUAGCAAUAUUGUUAUAUCAUAACUGUAUCGGACUUGUUGGAACAACCUUGCAACAAGUCUGAUAG